rnacentral:rRNA from 1 species
UGCCAGACCCUACGGGAGGCAGCAGUGGGGGAUAUUGCACAAUGGGGGGAAACCUGAUGCAGCGACACCGCGUGGGUGAAGGAGCGUUUCGGCGCGUAAAGCCCUCUCGGCAGGGAAGAAGGAGGACGGUACCUGACUAAGAAGCCCCGGCUAACUACGUGCCAGCAGCCGCGGUAAUACGUAGGGGGCAAGCGUUAUCCGGAUUUACUGGGUGUAAAGGGGGCGCAGACGGCAGCGCAAGCCAGGAGUGAAAGCCCGGGGCCCAACCCCGGGACUGCUCUUGGAACUGCGCGGCUGGAGUGCAGGAGGGGCAGGCGGAAUUCCUGGUGUAGCGGUGAAAUGCGUAGAUAUCAGGAGGAACACCGGUGGCGAAGGCGGCCUGCUGGACUGCGACUGACGUUGAGGCCCGAAAGCGUGGGGAGCAAACAGGAUUAGAUACCCCUGUA